rnacentral:lncRNA from 1 species
CUACAUCCACUAAGAGCUUGAAGGAGUAUAGUUGCUAAGUUUACAAUGGACGGUCGACGUCAAGUGCUCUUUCUUUUCCUGAUUCUCAUGGGAUGCUUUGCCGUUCUUGGACGAUGUAAAUGUUGGAUGAAAAGUACUUUAGCAUCCUUUGCUUUCUUUACCCAGAAAGCCAAUCUGGUUGAUUGACUUGCACAAUUUCAAAACGUUUUUUGUCAUGCAGUAGCAUUGCACGGGGAAUAUAACUUACAAACGUUUGUGUUACACCUUGCAGCUCGAAGCAUCAACGACAUGCAUAGUAGUAAGAUUACUGUGCAGUGUUGCAGAUACCUGAAAGCACAACCGAACCCGAAACCUCCGUUAGUAUGCUGCACACCCUUCAAGACAUCAUCAUGCUUUGAGAUGAAGAAAGAAUGCCUGGAAACCUGUUGCAAACAGUCCAAAACUAAUUUUACCGAUGUCACUUGGUCCCUUCCUAUUCUGCACUGACCAUAAUUCUAGUCUUAUUCCGCAAUAAGAGAUUUGACAUAAAAUAAUCCAUGAGUUUUUACUUCUAUAUUAGUCAAAAUUUCCCUCUUUAAUUUUUGUGUGUGGUCUCUCUCGUCUGCUAUGUUGUUGUUAGAGUGUUCU